rnacentral:rRNA from 1 species
UAACACGUGGAUAACCUACCUAUAAGACUGGGAUAACUUCGGGAAACCGGAGCUAAUACCGGAUAAUAUAUUGAACCGCAUGGUUCAAUAGUGAAAGACGGUCUUGCUGUCACUUAUAGAUGGAUCCGCGCUGCAUUAGCUAGUUGGUAAGGUAACGGCUUACCAAGGCAACGAUGCAUAGCCGACCUGAGAGGGUGAUCGGCCACACUGGAACUGAGACACGGUCCAG